rnacentral:piRNA from 1 species
UAACUUGAUUGGCCAUAGCAAUUCCUGCG